CAUAGCGGCUGCCGAAUAAUUGUGGCACCAUUCUCUGGUCUGGAUGUUAAGAUGCCGGGAGGAGGGCCUGGAUAAAGCCCUCCCACCACCCGCAGUCCAGCGCUGAUAAGGAGGCAGGCAAGGGGAGAUAAGCAACCGAGGACGUCAACAAAUGUUUGUCGCCUUCAGAUGUGCAAAUGCUCAGAGAGGGACCUUGCUAGCCUAGUCUGGACGCAACUGCUCGACAAGACCAUUGGCAGGUUGCUGUUCCUUGUUGCUCCGCUGCCUUCUGGAGUUCUGACACUAUGGAAACAAGAUCUCUUCUCAGGCAAAUAAUGGGCUACAGCAUGUCUUUUGGCUUCCUUAUCUUUUUGGCCGUGGCCACAAAUGGUGAGGAGAAUGCAACCAUACAACCUCCAGACAAAUCUUUGCCUCAUCCCACUGUUGCAGCUAACGAAUCGUCUCAAAAUGCAACCGCUUCGGAGACAAUUCAGACGUCCGGAGAAAGUGGAAAGAACAAAACCUCUGGAGAAACCUCUGCUGCCUUGAAGCCUCUUUCCAAAGAAUUGACUGCAGCUGCAAAACGGCCUCCGAAUGCGACCAUCAGCACCACUGAGAGGUCACCUGGCAAAAAACCAAGCGCAAAACCAGGACAGCCUAAGGGAGAAGGAGAAAUGAGGGCACUGGCUAAGUCAGAUGAGAGGAAUUCAACCCAAACCCAUGGUAACAGGGGCUGUGGGGCUGGCUGCCGACCAUCAACUGGAUCUGGUGGUCUGACAGCAAGCCUUGGAAUCAUCAUGGCAGUGGUCCUCUCUCUCCUGGUCUGCUUCUGACCCUCGUCUGACCCCCUUGGUUGACGUGGGGCUUCCAAACCAUGAAGCCCGCUCACUCAGGGAUGUGGUAGGAUUGUAGUAAUGCUGAAAAUACGCCCUGGGACAUCUCCUCCGCUUCCAAACACCUAAGCCCCAAAUAUAGUGUGUGUUUGUGUGAAAUAAAUUCUAUGUUUUUUGAAAGAAUCGCUCUGAGAUCAGCCCUUUAAGCUCUCGGACUGUGUUACAGUGGUGAGACUGUACUACUCCUCUAUUACCUUCCUCUCACCUCAAGAGUUUCGUAUGUACACCAGCGCAUCCUUGAAGACCUAGAUUAACCCGUCUAACUUUGCAGUUUAACCACCCAGCCGUUCCUGUGUUGGUCUUGCCUUAUCGACUCCUUUUGUUGUUCAACCGUUGCAGUUCAUGGGCCCUUAUCAGGCUGCCCCAGACAGGCAUCCCUUCUGUGACUUUCGUUUCUUCGUGCCCUGCAGCCUGAAACAAAACGCUGCCAUGCCACAACUGAGCAGGUGAAAAGCUUCCCUUUGCGCUUAUCUCGGUGCCCGGAGAAGCCUUUUGCUCUGCCACCCCUGCUGAGGCCCCAAAUGAGCCGGACAUCUCAUUUGGAAUCAACCAUGGGGAGGGGCAUUUUUUUUCGAGACUGCAACAGGGGAGAAAAGGCUUAAAUUUGCCUUCCCAACACACCACGCUGACAGGGUCCACCAUGAAGCCCAAGUGCCGUGGCAGUUCAUCAUAAGAUUGUAGCAUUGGAAGGGACCCCGUGGGCCAUGUAGUCUGACCCGCUGCGAUGCAGGCAUCUCAACACGCUGUCUCCCAUCCAAUUUGAAACCAUACUGGGCCCUGCUUAGCUUUGCAAAUGUGCUAGCAGUUUUCUUGCUAUGCCACUAGGGGUGGGGUGUUUGUUCAGGGGCUGGGCGCACAAGGCCCUGGGUCCAAUUCCUUGAAUCUCCAUGUUUUGGGCCACAAUUCAGGGGUAGCUGAGCAGGGAGUCCUAUGGGGGAACAUAGUGGUUUGUCUAGGGUUUCCACCAGGGGUGCUUCCGAGCCAGGAGAUGCUGGGAAUUGAACUGGGAAAGCAGAGUUUGCUCUGCCACUGAGCUAUGGCCUUUCCAAGGUUCAGCUCCCUCUUCCAGCUCAAACGCAUAAUGGUGGCCCAGUGUUGAAGACCCUGGAGAGCCCAUACUGCACAAAGGGUACAAGACUAGGCGAGGUGGGCCAGGGGCUCAGUGUGUGCUUAUUUUAAAAUAGCCCUGAAUUCUACUUCUGAAAGUGAAGCAUCUAUUUAUAUUGUCUUUAUAUUGUCUUCCCAAGAGUCGCUUGGGAAGAAACCAAGUCUUUAGUGUCAUCAGCUCAGUCCUGGGAAUACUCUGUCAACAGAGAUUCAGUAGGCACCUUUUGUUUCAGCUUUUGAAAGCCCACCAAAAACUUUUCUAUUCAGUCAGGCUUAUGCAGGCAAUGAAGAAUGCAUCUUUUCAAAAUAGUUGGCUGAUUUCUGAUAUGUGUGUGAUUAUUUAUAUGAUUGUUGAAAAUGACUGAUUUUUUUAAAUGAACAGUGGAAUAUAUAGAUAGUAAAUACAAAUAUAUAAAUAUUUUAUGAUCAAUCAAAUGAAUAAAUAUUAUUUGGGGAGUGUAGAGGAUAUUGGGGAAGGGUUUUCCUGAUCAUCUGAGUUUGCUGUGUAAUCAUGGGAUUGCAUUUACUGUUCAAAGGAUUUUGACAUGUUGUACUUCCUGGUUUGCUCAGCUGUACUAUAAAAUAAAUAAAACAGUAUUGUAGAUGA